AUACGUAGGGGGCGAGCGUUGUCCGGAAUUACUGGGUGUAAAGGGCGUGUAGGCGGGGAUGCAAGUUACCGGUAAAAACCCGAGGCUCAACCAUGGGCUUGCCGAUAAAACUGUAUUUCUUGAGUAUAGGAGAGGGAAAUGGAAUUUCCGGAGUAGCGGUGAAAUGCGUAGAUACCGGGAGGAACACCAGUGGCGAAGGCGGUUUCCUGGCCUAUUACUGACGCUGAGGCGCGAAAGCUAGGGUAGCGAACGGGAUUAGAUACCCCGGUAGUCCUAGCUGUAAACGAUGGUUACUAGGUGUGGGUGGUGGUCAAGCCAUCCGUGCCGGAGCUAACGCAAUAAGUAACCCACCUGGCGAGUACGGUCGCAAGGCUGAA
rnacentral:rRNA from 1 species